UCACGUCUUACGACGGCAGUUUCACUAGAGUUCCCAGCGUUACCUGAUGGCAACUAGUGAUGGGGGUUGCGCUCGUUGCGGGACUUAACCCAACACCUCACGGCACGAGCUGACGACAGCCAUGCAGCACCUUAUCCCGCGUAUAUUGCUAUAAAACCGGCUUUCACCGGCGGUCGCGGGACAUUCUAGCCCAGGUAAGGUUCCUCGCGUAUCAUCGAAUUAAACCAUAUGCUCCACCGCUUGUGCGGACCCCCGCCAAUUCCUUUGAGUUUCAAUCUUGCGAUCGUACUUCCCAGGUGGGAUACUUAAUGCUUUCGCUCAGACACUUACAGUUUAUCGCAAAUGUCGAGUAUCCAUCGUUUAGGGCGUGGACUAC
rnacentral:misc_RNA from 1 species